rnacentral:lncRNA from 1 species
GUCAAGUGAGGAGGAGGAGGAGGAGGAGGAAGCGGCCGCCGCGGGGUCCGCGGCGCGCCGGGCCGGGGUAAGUCCGGGCCCGGCGUGGUGGCCGCGGGCGCCUCUGUACCAGGCUGAGACACUCCGGAGCCGUCAGGGCCUUGGCGCUCACGUGGGCUUUGUACGGCGCGCUCUUUCGGCACCUGGGUUCUUCUGCCCGGACUGGGGCAGCUCGCCCCCGCCCCGUAUUCUUACCUUAUGAGACGUCACCCUUGGCUCUGUCGAGAACCAGGCAGGUUUCCUCUGGAGGGAGGGGGCUGCCAUCUCACGCCUGUCCGAAGACAACCCCCAGGGGAUGGGAGAGGUGACUUGGGCGAGCCAGGCUCUCCUGACCCACCCAUCCCCAGCUUGGCAGCCCCUCGCUGGGCGCUUUGUUUUGUUGGGUCGGUCUAACUGGCGUCCUUGCCUUGGCCUCCUGUUUGAGGUGUUGUA